rnacentral:lncRNA from 1 species
AAUAUUAUACAUUUCAGCCUGCUUACAAAAAACGAAGAUAUGUUCGUGAGGCUAGCUAUUCAAACUUGAACUAACGUACCAUUUGAUAAAUUUAUACAACUAUUUCGCCAGUUCCAUUUUAUGGACUUACAAUAUAGUAAAGUCAGAACACACUUCACUUGAGUGAUGUGGAAUCCUAGGAAGUUUUGUGUAAAUUAUGUUUCGAACGUAUAUUUAAAAACUAUAGUUUCGAGUUUAUAUAUGUACUUUAAAAAAAAAAUUGAGGUGGAAAACUAAAUUGAAGUCAGGAAGAGGGCUUCACAUUUUCACGUGCUUAAGAAUGUCUUUGAAAUAACGUGUUUUUUGGGCAGGCAUGGUGAAGCCAGAGAGUGAGGAAACUGUGCAACCUGAAGGUUAUGGCGGUGGCCACGGAGGACAUGGUGGUCACGGAGGGGGAGGAGGCCACGGACAUGGAGGACACAACGGAGGAGGGGGCCACGGACUUGACGGAUACGGAGGAGGUGGAGGACACUAUGGAGGAGGUGGAGGACACUACGGAGGAGGUGGAGGACACUACGGAGGAGGUGGAGGACACUACGGAGGAGGUGGAGGACACUACGGAGGAGGUGGUGGAGGACACGGAGGUGGAGGACACUACGGAGGUGGUGGAGGAGGAUACGGAGGUGGAGGAGGACACCACGGAGGAGGAGGCCACGGGCUAAACGAACCUGUUCAGACUAAGCCGGGUGUUUAAAACUAUAUAAUAUCUUCACUACCAUGCAUGAUUGCAUAUAUAUAUAUACGCUUAUGUAUUAUCUAUAUGCCUAUAAAUAAACCAUGGUGAGUUUGUAACGCAGUGCCUUCAGAAAUGUUCGGAAUAAAUUUCCAUAAUAUUAGUAUAAUGUCUCUCUGUUUGAAUUAUAAACUGCGCUGUUUGCAUAAUAAAAUCUCUUGUAGCUAGGUCAUGUUACUCUCUUUCAGUUUUUCUUUGUAACAGUAUUAUAUCCUUAUUCAUAUUGUUAGGGAAUAUUUUUCUUAAAAGAUUACCAAAAGCCUGCAGGAAUAAAAAAAAAUGAUUACUAAAAACCUAGAGACUAUCGAGGUUUUGCAUACACCAACACUUACGAAGUUCAUUAAAUAUAUGAAACCGAUACGAGAGAUGGGAUCAUCAGAGAAGGGAGAUAAAGACAGUAGAAGCUUCUUAAUUGUCGCAGUUAUGUUCUGAUCUUUUCCUUAUAGAAUUAGACUUUUAAUAUUUUCGUUUUUAGUUUUAACUUACGUCGGUUGUAAGAGAUCUAUAUAUAAUCAUCUUCCAAACAUUACCCUUAUUUUCAAGGCUUUGCUUCUGUUGGGUCUCUUCGCAGUUCUUCUCGUCAUCUCCGAAGUGUCUGCGGCAAGUAAAAUUAUUGUAUGCAUUUCAAUCUACUUUAAAGAAACAAGAUAUAUGAUAAAAAUAUUUUAUACAUUUCAAUCAUCCAACACUAAAGUACCAUUUGAUAAAUUUACAUCACUUAAGUGAAGUGUGGAAUUCUAGUACCAUUUUAGAAGUUGUGUGCAUAUUAUGUUUAGAACGUAUAUUUAAUUUUGUAAACCUUUUUUGAAAAAAGCAUUAAUAUACUUUCAAAUCUUUAUUGAACGCACAUUUAACAUUUUGCAAGUACAUGCUUAACAAUAUCUUUGAAAUAAUGUUUUAUUUUUAGGUAGGCAUGGUGACACCAGAGAGUGAUGAAACUGUGUAACCUGAAGGUUAUGGCGGUGGCCACGGAGGACAAGGUGGUCACGACCAUGGAGGACACAACGGAGGAGGGGGCCACAGAC